rnacentral:misc_RNA from 1 species
AGCAGCCGCGGUAAUUCCAGCUCCAAUAGCGUAUAUUAAAGUUGUUGCAGUUAAAAGCUCGUAGUUGAAUUUCGGGAUCAAUAUAUCGGUCGUGCCUUGGUACGUACUGGUAUCAUUGGUCUCUCCUUUCUGACGAACCAUGAUGUCAUUAAUUUGGUGUUAUGGGAAGUUAGGACUGUUACUUUGAAAAAUUAGAGUGUUUAAAGCAGGCUUUGGCUUGAAUACAUUAGCAUGGAAUAAUGAAAUAGGACGUUCGAACCUAUUUUGUUGGUUUCUAGGAUCAACGUAAUGAUUAAUAGGGAUAGUUGGGGGCAUUAGUAUUCAAUUGUCAGAGGUGAAAUUCUUGGAUUUAUUGAAGACUAACUACUGCGAAAGCAUUUGCCAAGGAUGCUUUCAUUAAUCAAGAACGAAAGUUAGGGAUCGAAGACGAUCAGAUACCGUCGUAGUCUUAACCAUAAACUAUGCCGACUAGGGAUCGGAUGAUGUUAAUUUUUAAUGACUCAUUCGGCGUUCUUAAC